rnacentral:tRNA from 1 species
GGUAUAGUGGUUAAGAAAGAGUUUGGCUGGUAACCAAAAGGUUGGUGGUUCAAAUCCACCAGGUGCUC